CCUGCCAGAUGGAGAAGUCUGGGUGGAGGAAACUCAGGGACAGGAGACUUCUCCCAGAUCUGAUCAUCGUAGUGAGUACCAUGCUAUGCCAGCCUCCCCACAGGUUUUGUAAAGGAUCAGGUGAGAUAAAGCAUAGCCCAGAGCCAACCCCCAAAGGCAGAUUUCCCCCCACCCUGAGACAGGAUGCCACUGUGUAGCCCAGUGUAGUGAACACUUGGAAUACAAAAUAAAGAUGGUGGAAUGAGACAUUCCGUCUCCAGUUCCUAACAUCAGAAGUGAGCACCUGUGUGUCACCAGCAACAUAUUGGAGGCCAGCUGCCUACACCAAUCAGAAACAGGGACCACAAAGUCUGCAGGGGUGAGAUAGGCCUUUUCAGUGUCUACGAUUUCAUCAUGGACAUUACUGUCGAUUUCUCUUCCUGCCCCUGUAUGUGCGGGUCUAUCGCCAUCUCGCCAUCUCCGGCUCCUGUGUUAUGAAGACAGUCUCAUGCAGCCCAGACCAAUCUCAAAUUGACUAGGUAAACUGAGGCUGGCCUUGAACCAGUCCCUCCUGCCUCUAUCUCCUGAGAGCUGGGUAACAGCUUCUGGAGCCUCACCCAGCUUCGCUUUCACCACCCCAGCCAAUCCUGUGACUCCUCUUCAUAGCGAGAGCAUUGACACUUAUGUUCUGAGUGUGAAAAAAAAAAAAAAAUCACAUAGUACUUCCUACUAGAACCUUGCCCGGGUCAACUGAAGUGUGUGUGUUUGCUUACCAGUCUGCAGGUUUGCUUAAGUUUGUUUAUUUUAGAGACCAGGUCUUGCUCUGUUGCCUAAGCCAACUUGAAACUCUUGGGCUCCAACAGUUCUCCUGCUCCAUCUUUCUAGAGCAGCUGGGACUCUAGGCAUGCUCCACUACAGCUGACUGAAGCUUGAAUGAAUGAAUGAAUGAAUGAAUGAGUUACUACCUCUGAGGGACCCUCCUCAUGGCCUUCUCAACUCUGUACUUUAAUUAGUUGCUUAGAGGUGUCUCCAUGCCUCAGUUUCCCCAUCUGUAAUAGUAAACGAGUUCACAGGCGUGGUCUGUGCUUGGAGCAAGAACAAAACCAUCCUGGCCUAUACUCUCUAGGGACUCUACAGAGCCCAUCCCUUUGGCUAUCAGACUGUUGAGAUAAAGGUUCCCCCAGGAAUCGGAAUCCCCUCCGACAGGAGUCUCAUGCUCAGAGAAGAAAAAAAGCUGAAGCCUGCUGACAGCCAGAGAGGGUACUUGUCUGUCAGGGAAAAAUUCUACACAGGACAGACUGGAGCCCAGACUGGUCUGGGUCAGUGACACACGGCACAGCACACGGUGGGACAACCUGGCUGUGCAUCUCUCUCAAACCUCAACCUCAGUCUGAAGAUGGAUUGGGGGGGGGGGUCCCUGGACCUCAUUACUUGUCACCCUUCUCACUGUGGCCACAGCGAAGCGAAUACAUCUCUCUGCUUUUC
rnacentral:lncRNA from 1 species